rnacentral:miRNA from 1 species
AAAUAACCUUAUCUGCCCGAU